AGAAGGACCUCUCAUCAAAGUAUUACAAGGCCGGCAGAACAUCAGCACUGAGCUGACCAUUGAGCCAGAGAGGGCAUCCUCAAACAAAAAGAGCGACACUUCCUCAUCCCUUAUGAGCCUUCUGAUGAGACUGCUCACCCAGCAGCAGGAAGUAAAGAUAUCCAACGCAGAGUGGGAUGCGGAACAAUGGAAAGAUGAGAGGAUGCAAGCCCCCCAGAAGCAGGAAGAGAAGGCAUCCAAUGAGAUUUUUCGGAGGAAGAUACAGAAAGGAGGAAGCUCAAG